ensembl:lncRNA
UACUCUCCAGUACAAUGAAAAAAAUUUAAAGUUAUGAGAAAAAAGUAUAGGGAAGAGGAAGCUAUGUAUCUGAAAGAACAAGAAAUAGACGGCAUGGAUAUGGUCAAAAUACUUACACACAUUGAACCUCCCAAAGCGUGAAACAAGGGAAGAAGGUGGGGAAAUGAGCUAUAACCAAGCAACAACACAAUGGGCCACAGUAUGAAGCACUAAGCUGUCCCUUUUGGGAGACACUAAUACAGGUCCAUUGGACGAGAACUUUGUGGGGACAAUUGGAAUGUGUGAGGCUAGCUACAUGGACUAGUUGUUUAGCUCCUUUGUGCCACAGUUUCUUCACAAGGAUAAGGGAAACUGAGCCAUCAAAUGGUGGAAUAACUCAACUGAGAUCACAAAGCUAACAAGUGUGGAUCUAGGAUUUCUACUCAAACAUGCUGUCUCCAAUACAUGAAGUACAGAGUUGGGCCAAC